GACAGAGGCCCCGAGCGUUAGUCGGAAUUACUGGGCUUAAAGGGUGCGUAGGCGGGCGUGUAAGUGCUUUGUGAAAGCCCUGGGCUCAACCCAGGAACCGCAGGGCAUACUGCACGUCUCGAGGUAGCUAGAGGCCGGUGGAACGAUCGGUGGAGCGGUGGAAUGCGUAGAGAUCGAUCGGAACGCCAAGGGUGAAGACAACCGGCUGGGGCUUACCUGACGCUGAGGCACGAAAGCGUGGGGAUCAAACAGG
rnacentral:rRNA from 1 species